rnacentral:rRNA from 1 species
UACGGGGGGGGCAAGCGUUGUUCGGAAUUACUGGGCGUAAAGGGCUCGUAGGCGGCCAACUAAGUCAGACGUGAAAUCCCUCGGCUUAACCGGGGAACUGCGUCUGAUACUGGAUGGCUUGAGUGUGGGAGAGGGAUGCGGAAUUCCAGGUGUAGCGGUGAAAUGCGUAGAUAUCUGGAGGAACACCGGUGGCGAAGGCGGCAUCCUGGACCGAGAUUGACGCUGAUGAGCGAAAGCUAGGGGAGCAAACGGG